rnacentral:rRNA from 1 species
GUGGGGAAUUUUGGACAAUGGGCGCAAGCCUGAUCCAGCAAUGCCGCGUGCAGGAAGAAGGCCUUCGGGUUGUAAACUGCUUUUGUACGGAACGAAACGGUCCUGGUUAAUACCUGGUGCUAAUGACGGUACCGUAAGAAUAAGCACCGGCUAACUACGUGCCAGCAGCCGCGGUAAUACGUAGGGUGCGAGCGUUAAUCGGAAUUACUGGGCGUAAAGCGUGCGCAGGCGGUGCUGUAAGACAGGCGUGAAAUCCCCGGGCUCAACCUGGGAAUUGCGCUUGUGACUGCAGUGCUGGAGUACGGCAGAGGGGGAUGGAAUUCCGCGUGUAGCAGUGAAAUGCGUAGAUAUGCGGAGGAACACCGAUGGCGAAGGCAGUCCCCUGGGCCUGUACUAACGCUCAUGCACGAAAGCGUGGGGAGCAAACAGGAUUAGAUACCCCUGUAGUCC